rnacentral:tRNA from 1 species
GGUUCUAUGGUGUAAUGGUUAGCACUCUAUACUCUGAAUCCAGCGAUCUGAGUUUAAAUCUCGGUAGGACCU